GAGUUGUUCAACUUUUAAUUUCCUACNUGAUCUGAGUUUAGACCGAUGAGAAUCCGGUUGGUUUCUAUCCUAAUUUUAUUANAAANUUAGUUAGUACGAAAGGAAUUCUAAAUUUUAAUUUUUAAAAUAAACAAUUUUAUUUGCAUCAAUUUUUGGAAUU
rnacentral:rRNA from 1 species